GGUGUCAGGAAAAUGUAUGGAGUAAAAAGUACAUUAUAUUCUUUAGCAAUGUAGUGAAGUAAAAGUUGUCAAAAAUAUGAAUAGUAAAGUACAGAUACACAAGAAAACAACUUAUGUAGUGCUGUAAGUAUUUUUACUUCAGUACUUCACACCACUGGUAACCAAAUAACUAGGGCUUUACAUGCACACUAAUCAUUUCCUAUUAAACUGAUUAUGGCAGUAGACAGAGUAUGACAUUCGUCAUGUAAACAUCUUACUCUGCUGAUCUUAAUUGGUGUGAGGUCAUAACAGAAGUAAGGAUUCACCUUUAAAAACACCUGGUUUUCUGAACAAUCUUUAGAAUGAUUAGGACAUGUAAACACUUUAAUCAGAGUUAUAGAGGUGUAUUUAAUCUGUGUAUGUGCUAACACAAGCAGCGCCAGCUAACUUCUUUUGACUGAGUUCAGGAAAAACUAAAAGUAUACAGUUUAGAAAUUGUUUUCACAAACAAACUUUUUUCUCCAAACUCAGAAUUAAAUAUGCUUAAAAAGAAUUAUAUGGUUGGUGUGGUGGUACGUUUGAUCCUCGUCCCAGUCAGCAGUGAGGAUACAGGCAGAAACUCCUGUACAGUAGAAGGCUACAAUGAUCUCAACUUUCCUGUGUUGUCUGUGGGGGAACAAUCGUCUUUGAAGGAAGCAGCUGUAGGAAUCAUAGUGUAUGUUCUGAUUCUCAUCCUCUGGCUUUAAGUGGUUCAGGUGAGUGAGAGGAAUUAACCCCUUUUCAUAUUCUGUUUUAUAAUCAUUGAUCUCAAUAUUAAACUUGAUUUUAAUUUCUGAAUUAAUUCAUCCAAUCAUCUGUUCAUUUAUUUAUUCUUUCCAUCAUUCGCAAAAACAGGGAGAAGGCCUCCAAAUCCACCUCUGACAGAAGAGACACAGCAGAGAAUGGACUUGUGAGUCUGUUGGAAUCAGCUGACUGACAACGCGAGACGCUAGUCCAAUUUAUGUCAACGGCUCAGGCAUGGCCAUGACCCCUUCUGCAGCACAGACAGCAGACACAGAUGAUCAGGAUGAUGUUCACAACAUCAGUAUUCACCACAGAAACCAGAAAGUGCCUCUAUAUUCCACCGUCCAACUGCCUCAAACCCAGAAAUAGGUUGGGUUCUUCUAUGUGUGUAUUGGCAGUUUUUAAAAUAAAUUAAAAAGGUGCAAACUGC